rnacentral:tRNA from 1 species
CAAAGAAUAGUUUAAUUUAGAACCC